CUUUAAUUAUGACGUGUUUCAUUUUCAAGGACCAAAGCCUUGGAAGCCCAGAUUUGGAAAUGGCGGAAACGGUGGUACUUGGAAUGGCGGGAAUGGAGGAAACGGACAUAAUGGUGGAAAUGGUGGUACUUGGAAAGGAGGGAAUGGAGGAGACAGUUUGAAUUAUGGGAGAGGUGGAAAUGGUGGUACUUGGAAUGGUGGUAAUGGAGGACAGCGGUCUAUAUGGAGGUAGUGGAGGAAACGGUGGUCGCUGGAAUGGUGGAAAUGGCGGACAUGGUGGAAAACGCUAAGAUAUAAGUGACUGAGUUUCGAACUAAUGACAAAUGAACAUGUGACAAAU
rnacentral:lncRNA from 1 species